CAUGAAAAUUAUUGUGCUACGUCUAAAUCCAAGUAACGCGGGAUGCGUGAUCGAUACGUCGCUUUAAAUAGACUGUUUGCUAGAAGUUUGAGUUUCAAGCUGGAGCCAAGUAGAACGUUCAAAGAUCGAACUGGCCAUUUGGAUUUCGAAUUAAUAAUUCCGACGAAAGAAGUUGGAAUACGCAAUCGUCGCUUGACGGCACGACGGCUCCCUCAAACGUAAGAGCUGAAUUCGCAUCUUGCAAAACUCUGCUCCUCGUCUCUGGCACGCACGAGGCGCCGACGAGAAACGUCUGAGAUGAUGAUGAUGAUGAUGAUGAUGAAUAAGAAGAAGAAGAGGAAGAAGAAGAAGAAGAAGAAGAAGAAGAAGAAGAAACAGAAAGUAAACCGAGUGAGUUAAGAGUAUAGUAAUUAUUCAAACACUUGCUGAUAAGCAUUGUAUCUAAUAGAUUAUAACAUCUUUUCAAAAAAAACAUGUUCUCAUAUCACGUAGUUUCUAAUAUUUUCUUAUUGUUUCAUCCGCUUGAUGUGGUAACAAACACAGAGAGAGAGAGAGAGAGAGAGAGAGAGAGAGAGAGAGAGAGAGAGAGAGAGAGAGAGAGAGAGAGAGAGAGAGAGAGAGAGAGAGAGAGAGA